CUUAAAAUCAACUUCAAAACUUUAAAAUCUAUUAAUAACAAUUUUAAAAUUUAUUAAUACUUUAAAAUCCAAUAUCUAAGAAGACUUGAGGUUCAGCUAGGGAUGGUGUGUAAUCCAAGUACUCAAGAGACUGAUGGAAGACGACUAUGUGAGACUAACUCAUCUGGGACGUAAUGAGAUACUCUGCCGAAGGGAGAGUAUCUCAAAACAACAACAAAACAAACAAAGCAAACCACCCCACGAAACCCAAACCCCCCAAAAUAGCCAUACUCCCAAAACCAAACCAAACCAAACAAGCUGAGGGUGGUCAAUUCCCCUACACAUGGAAGACUUUUCUCUGGGCCCCAGGAAUGAGGAGAUACAACCAUCUGUCUCUUUCAUGGCCAAGGACUUCCGAAAGCAUUCUAGGCCACAAGCGGAUGAGUCUUGAAAAUGGAGAGCUAGCUGGGCUUAGCACACGGGCUAGGUCAGAACAAACAUCUAAGGGUAGAGACGGGUCCUCUAACGAGACAGCAGGAAGAACUCACGUAUGACGAGGUCCCAAGCCCAGGGACGGCUCUGCCAACUUCACACUUCUUCGUUGAGAGCAAGCCCCUCCUGUCCUUGUGGCACGUGCCUUCUGUCUGCAGCAGCAAGCACUAGGGGCUGACAGUGCACCAGGACUCUUCUCUACCAUUCAUCUGACGGCGACCCUGCUCCCACUGAUACCACGUGAUUCCCGUUUAUAGAGGAGAAUACUGAAGAGCAGAACUGUGUGCUCCUGGGCACAGAGAGACUAUCUUGAUUUCCCUUGCUUCCAGAGGGUACUGUCAUGGGAUCCAGGACUCUGAAGAGUAGUUCUCGCGGCACUUGAACUGUGAAGUGUCAGUUCUUUUUGAUCUUGUAGCAGCUGAUGAGCAACCACUGCCGUUCAAAUUGCAGCGCCCAUCUGGAGGUGAGAAGUUAUGUACUCCAUCCUGAAGCACUAAGGAAAAUCCAUCUUCUGACUUCUCCAGCUUCUGGACGCUCCUUGCAGAUCUUGACCUGUGACCUUGUCUCCCAGUGUCCAUUCUGUGUCUUUUAUGAGAAUUCUUGCUAUUAUUUUGGGACCCAGUGAGAUAAGACAAGGUAUUUUCUUAUCUCAAAAAUCCUCAGUCAUGUCUGCAAAGUCCUUUGGUUAUGUAUAAUAUGAUGUACUCACAGUUUUGGGGGUCAAGGUAUGGCAUCUGUGGC